AGAGUUUGAUCAUGGCUCAGGAUGAACGCUGGCGGCGUGCCUAAUACAUGCAAGUCGAGCGAAUGGAUUGAGAGCUUGCUCUCAAGAAGUUAGCGGCGGACGGGUGAGUAACACGUGGGUAACCUGCCCAUAAGACUGGGAUAACUCCGGGAAACCGGGGCUAAUACCGGAUAACAUUUUGAACCGCAUGGUUCGAAAUUGAAAGGCGGCUUCGGCUGUCACUUAUGGAUGGACCCGCGUCGCAUUAGCUAGUUGGUGAGGUAACGGCUCACCAAGGCAACGAUGCGUAGCCGACCUGAGAGGGUGAUCGGCCACACUGGGACUGAGACACGGCCCAGACUCCUACGGGAGGCAGCAGUAGGGAAUCUUCCGCAAUGGACGAAAGUCUGACGGAGCAACGCCGCGUGAGUGAUGAAGGCUUUCGGGUCGUAAAACUCUGUUGUUAGGGAAGAACAAGUGCUAGUUGAAUAAGCUGGCACCUUGACGGUACCUAACCAGAAAGCCACGGCUAACUACGUGCCAGCAGCCGCGGUAAUACGUAGGUGGCAAGCGUUAUCCGGAAUUAUUGGGCGUAAAGCGCGCGCAGGUGGUUUCUUAAGUCUGAUGUGAAAGCCCACGGCUCAACCGUGGAGGGUCAUUGGAAACUGGGAGACUUGAGUGCAGAAGAGGAAAGUGGAAUUCCAUGUGUAGCGGUGAAAUGCGUAGAGAUAUGGAGGAACACCAGUGGCGAAGGCGACUUUCUGGUCUGUAACUGACACUGAGGCGCGAAAGCGUGGGGAGCAAACAGGAUUAGAUACCCUAGUAGUCC
rnacentral:rRNA from 1 species